rnacentral:lncRNA from 1 species
GAGUGGCAGGCAGUCAGUUGGAGAAAAACCAAGUUUCUAGAUUGAAAGAACCAUUUCCUGGGAAUGUUCAAAUCACAACCACCAGCACCACCCCCCCCCCCAUAUCCGGUGUGAACCAUUGAAGAUGAAGGGGAAGAGUUCUUACUGAAUCAUUCUUUUUAAAUGUGUCCUUCCUCCCUGGCUUUUGGUAUUAUAGUAGGAACGAGAGAGAGAGAGAGAGAGAGAGAGAGAGAGAGAGAGAGAGAGAGAGAGAGAGAGAGAGAGAGAGAAUGAAUAUUUUGAAAUGAUGUGAUGAUCCGGAACACUUAGUCUACUUCUAUGAGUACAAGC